GUGGCGGACGGGUGAGUAACACGUGGGAACGUGCCUUUAGGUUCGGAAUAACUCAGGGAAACUUGUGCUAAUACCGAAUGUGCCCUUCGGGGGAAAGAUUUAUCGCCUUUAGAGCGGCCCGCGUCUGAUUAGCUAGUUGGUGAGGUAAAGGCUCACCAAGGCGACGAUCAGUAGCUGGUCUGAGAGGAUGAUCAGCCACAUUGGGACUGAGACACGGCCCAAACUCCUACGGGAGGCAGCAGUGGGGAAUCUUGCGCAAUGGGCGAAAGCCUGACGCAGCCAUGCCGCGUGAAUGAUGAAGGUCUUAGGAUUGUAAAAUUCUUUCACCGGGGACGAUAAUGACGGUACCCGGAGAAGAAGCCCCGGCUAACUUCGUGCCAGCAGCCGCGGUAAUACGAAGGGGGCUAGCGUUGCUCGGAAUUACUGGGCGUAAAGGGAGCGUAGGCGGACAUUUAAGUCAGGGGUGAAAUCCCGGGGCUCAACCUCGGAAUUGCCUUUGAUACUGGGUGUCUUGAGUGUGAGAGAGGUAUGUGGAACUCCGAGUGUAGAGGUGAAAUUCGUAGAUAUUCGGAAGAACACCAGUGGCGAAGGCGACAUACUGGCUCAUUACUGACGCUGAGGCUCGAAAGCGUGGGGAGCAAACAGGAUUAGAUACCCUGGUAGUCCAC
rnacentral:rRNA from 1 species